GCUUGGGAAUCUGCCCAGUAGUGGGGGAUAACCUGUGGAAACGCACGCUAAUACCGCAUACGUCCUACGGGAGAAAGCAGGGGAUCUUCAGACCUUGCGCUAUUGGAUGAGCCCAAGUCGGAUUAGCUAGUUGGUGGGGUAAUGGCCUACCAAGGCGACGAUCCGUAGCUGGUCUGAGAGGAUGAUCAGCCACACUGGAACUGAGACACGGCCCAGACUCCUACGGGAGGCAGCAGUGGGGAAUAUUGCACAAUGGGCGAAAGCCUGAUGCAGCCAUGCCGCGUGUGUGAAGAAGGCUCU
rnacentral:rRNA from 1 species